GAUGAACGCUAGCUACAGGCUUAACACAUGCAAGUCGAGGGGAAACGGCAUUGAGUGCUUGCACUCUUUGGACGUCGACCGGCGCACGGGUGAGUAAAGCGUAUCCAACCUUCCCAUUACUGUGGGAUAACCUGCCGAAAGGCAGACUAAUACCGCAUAGUCUUCGAUGACGGCAUCAGAUUUGAAGUAAAGAUUUAUCGGUAAUGGAUGGGGAUGCGUCUGAUUAGCUUGUUGGCGGGGUAACGGCCCACCAAGGCUACGAUCAGUAGGGGUUCUGAGAGGAAGGUCCCCCACAUUGGAACUGAGACACGGUCCAAACUCCUACGGGAGGCAGCAGUGAGGAAUAUUGAUCAAUGGACGGAAGUCUGAACCAGCCAAGUAGCGUGCAGGAUGACGGCCCUAUGGGUUGUAAACUGCUUUUGUAUGGGGAUAAAGUUAGGGACGUGUCCCUAUUUGCAGGUACCAUACGAAUAAGGACCGGCUAAUUCCGUG
rnacentral:rRNA from 1 species